GACGAACGCUGGCGGCGUGCUUAACACAUGCAAGUCGAACGAUGAAAGCUGGAGCUUGCUCCGGCUGGAUUAGUGGCGAACGGGUGAGUAACACGUGAGCAAUCUGCCCUUGACUCUGGGAUAACUCCGAGAAAUCGGUGCUAAUACCGGAUAUGACCCUUGGCGGCAUCGCUGGGGGUGGAAAGUUUUUCGGUCAAGGAUGAGCUCGCGGCCUAUCAGCUUGUUGGUGAGGUAAUGGCUCACCAAGGCGACGACGGGUAGCCGGCCUGAGAGGGUGACCGGCCACACUGGGACUGAGACACGGCCCAGACUCCUACGGGAGGCAGCAGUGGGGAAUAUUGCACAAUGGGCGCAAGCCUGAUGCAGCAACGCCGCGUGGGGGAUGACGGCCUUCGGGUUGUAAACCUCUUUUAGCAGGGAAGAAGCGAAAGUGACGGUACCUGCAGAAAAAGCACCGGCUAACUACGUGCCAGCCGCCGCCGUAA
rnacentral:rRNA from 1 species